UACGAAGGGUGCAAACGUUGCUCGGAAUUAUUGGGCGUAAAGCGCACGUAGGCGGCAUUGCAAGUCGGAUGUGAAAUCCCUCAGCUUAACUGGGGAACUGCGUCUGAUACUGGUUGGCUUGAGUGCAGGAGAGGAACGCGGAAUUCCAGGUGUAGCGGUGAAAUGCGUAGAUAUCUGGAGGAACACCGGUGGCGAAGGCGGCGUUCUGGACUGCAACUGACACUGAGGAACGAAAGCCAGGGGAGCAAACGGG
rnacentral:rRNA from 1 species